UAGUAAUCGCAGAUCAGCAUGCUGUGGUGAAUACGUUCCCGGGCCUUGUACACACCGCCCGUCACACCAUGGGAGUCGGUAACACCCAAAGUUGGUAGUCUAACCGCAAGGAGGACGCCGCCUAAGGUGGGAUUGAUGACUGGGGUGAAGUCGUAACAAGGUAGC
rnacentral:rRNA from 1 species